GGAACGCCGAGCGCAGGCUGCAACGCGGCAGAGAACCGCGGCGCCUGGCUUCCGGCUUCGGAGCCAGCGAGCGCUGGUGGGGGUGAGGUUCCCCUGCCAGGUCCCCCUGGGAGGUCCCCCCCUGCAAGGUCCCCCUGCAAAGUCCCCCUGCAAGGUCCCCUUGGAAAGUCCCCCUAUAAGGUCCCCCUGCAAGGCCCCCCCUAAGGUCCCCCAGUGAGAUCCCCCUGUGAGACCCACCCCCACAAGGUCCCCUGCAAAGUCCCCCUGCGAGGUCCCCCUGCAAAGCCUCACGCCUUCCUUUGCCCUCUCAUCCCUGCUCUGCUGGGUCCCCGUACAUCUCUCCGUCCCUGUCCCCACGAUGUCCCUGUGCAGCUUUGCAAGGCAGCGACCUAGCGAGGGCACCUUAGGACGCCCGCCUCACCAGCCCGCCUCCAGUUUCCCGGGAGGAACCGCUGCCCACCUGUGUCCUUGGCGCCCCGGGAUCUCUGGGGGCGCCUCGAAAAUGCACCCAGCAGUUUGGGGAGGCCGAGGACCUGUCCCGCGAGCUUUGUUCCCGGGAAGACCCUGUUCUCCCGAGUUCCCACCCCGGGGACACCGACGGCUGGGCUUUGUUUGCGGAUUCCGGGGAGGAGGAGCCCAGGGCGCU
rnacentral:lncRNA from 1 species